rnacentral:rRNA from 1 species
AGCGAACGCUGGCGGCAUGCCUAACACAUGCAAGUCGAGCGCUCCCAGCAAUGGGGGAGCGGCGGACGGGUGAGUAACGCGUAGGAACGUAUCCUGAGGUGGGGGAGUAACCCUGGGAAACUAGGACUAAUACCGCAUGAUGGCGAGAGCCCAAAGAUUUAUCGCCUUGGGAGCGGCCUGCGUCUGAUUAGCUUGUUGGUGGGGUAACGGCCUACCAAGGCGAUGAUCAGUAGCUGGUCUGAGAGGAUGAUCAGCCACACUGGGACGUGAGACACGGCCCACGACUCCUACGGGAGGCAGCAGUGGGGAAUAUUGGACAAUGGGCGAAAGCCUGAUCCAGCAAUGCCGCGUGGAUGAAGAAGGUCUUCGGAUUGUAAAGUCCUUUCGGUC